rnacentral:rRNA from 1 species
UACAGAGGGGGCCAGCGUUAUUCGGAAUUACUGGGCGUAAAGGGCGCGUAGGCGGCCUGUUAAGUCGAACGUGAAAUCCCCGGGCUCAACCCGGGAACUGCGUCCGAUACUGGCAGGCUUGAAUCCGGGAGAGGGAUGCGGAAUUCCAGGUGUAGCGGUGAAAUGCGUAGAUAUCUGGAGGAACACCGGUGGCGAAGGCGGCAUCCUGGACCGGCAUUGACGCUGAGGCGCGAAAGCCAGGGGAGCAAACGGG